rnacentral:rRNA from 1 species
UACGGGGGGGGCAAGCGUUGUUCGGAAUUACUGGGCGUAUAGGGUUCGUAGGCGGCCAACUAAGUCAGACGUGAAAUCCCCAGGCUCAACCUGGGAACUGCGUCUGAUACUGGAUGGCUUGAAUCCGGGAGAGGGAUGCAGAAUUCCAGGUGUAGCGGUGAAAUGCGUAGAUAUCUGGAGGAAUACCGGUGGCGAAGGCGGCAUCCUGGACCGGCAUUGACGCUGAGGAGCGAAAGCUAGGGGAGCAAACGGG